rnacentral:misc_RNA from 1 species
GAUGAAGAACGCAGCGAAAUGCGAUAAGUAGUGUGAAUUGCAGAAUUCAGUGAAUCAUCGAAUCUUUGAACGCACAUUGCGGCCAUAGGUAUUCCUUUGGCCAUGCCUGUUCGAGCGUCAUUUACACCCUCAAGCCUAGCUUGGUGUUGGGCGCCUGUCCCGCCGUUUUCGCGCGCGGACUCGCCUCAAAGUCAUUGGCGGCGGUCGUGCCGGCCCCCUCGCGCAGCACAUUUGCGCUUCUCGGAGGCCCGGCGGAUCCGCGCUCCAGCAAGACCUUUCACGACUUGACCUCGGAUCAGGUAGGGAUACCCGCUGAACUUAAGCAUAUCAAUAAGCGGAUGA